rnacentral:rRNA from 1 species
CCUACGGGAGGCAGCAGUGGGGAAUAUUGCACAAUGGGGGAAACCCUGAUGCAACGACGCCGCGUGAGUGAAGAAGUAUUUCGGUACGUAAAGCUCUAUCAGCAGGGAAGAAAAUGACGGUACCUGACUAAGAAGCCCCGGCUAACUACGUGCCAGCAGCCGCGGUAAUACGUCGGGGGCAAGCGUUAUCCGGAUUUACUGGGUGUAAAGGGAGCGUAGACGGCAGCGCAAGUCUGGAGUGAAAUCCCAUGGCUUAACCAUGGAACUGCUUUGGAAACUGUGCAGCUAGAGUGCAGGAGAGGUAAGCGGAAUUCCUAGUGUAGCGGUGAAAUGCGUAGAUAUUAGGAGGAACACCAGUGGCGAAGGCGGCUUACUGGACUGUAACUGACGUUGAGGCUCGAAAGCGUGGGGAGCAAACAGGAUUAGAUACCCCUGUAGUC